UCGAAGGGAGCUCAAAGAUGCUCUCUCAAAUCCCGGGAAGAACGUCGGUGAACGAGUGAUCCGGUGCUUAGAACAACAGCGGAUAUGGGGCAGGAGGCUGGGUUCGGUAGGGUGGCCCUUUCCCUGGACAGAACAACUAGAGGAUGUGAAAGUCACUCUCCACCAAGCCAAGUUGAACUUUCGGCAUCAAUAAAUAUGGCACCGUCUCAUCAGUGCGCGAGUCAGACCCGGAGGCAUCUCUAUUUACAGAAAACGUGAUCUAUGUGGCUCUCGUUUCCUCUCCACCCGCACAGCCCGCGCGCGCACACAUGCAACACACUUCGCAGGGUGACAGCUACAACUGCAGAGACCGUAAUUCACGAACUCCAAUUUUGAUCAAGUUGUCGAAGCUCUAGACAAAGAAUUGUUGUGAGAAAAGUCAUUUUUCCUCAUAUGACCAGGGUAGCACUGCGCCAUGCUGAGAAGUCAGUCUGAUUUAAGGAAUCAUCAUACAGCAGAGUAGUAUUUAUGAUGAAACUCCCUGAGCUCCACUUUCCCACCUUUCUGUGACAUUUUUGGAGAAAACCUAGGAAGAAUAAAG